rnacentral:rRNA from 1 species
GAUGAACGCUGGCGGCGUGCCUAACACAUGCAAGUCGAGCGAGAAGUAAAGAAAUGAAGCUUCGGUAGAUUUUCAUUAUGGAAAGCGGCGGACGGGUGAGUAACGCGUAGGCAACCUGCCCUGUACAGGGGGAUAGCCACCCGAAAAGGUGAUUAAUACCCCAUGAUGCAAGAGAUACACAUGUAUCACUUGUCAAAGAUUUAUCGGUAUGGGAUGGGCCUGCGUCUGAUUAGCUAGUUGGUAGGGUAACGGCUUACCAAGGCAACGAUCAGUAGCCGACCUGAGAGGGUGAUCGGCCACAUUGGAACUGAGACACGGUCCAAACUCCUACGGGAGGCAGCAGUGGGGAAUAUUGCACAAUGGGGGAAACCCCUGAUGCAGCAACGCCGCGUGAAAGGAAAGAAAGGGCCCUUUCGGGUUGUAAAACUUCUGUUCCUAAGGGG